rnacentral:misc_RNA from 1 species
UAAUAAGUGUUUCAUGGCACUUUUUAAAUCCAUAUCCACCUUGUGUGCAAUGUCAGUCGAUCUUCUUCAUGGAGAUCGACCAAACAUCAACCUUUAUCUUUUAACUCUUUGUCUGAAAAAUAUUAUGAAUAAACAAUUCAAAAUA